CGGAGGGUGCGAGCGUUGUCCAGAAUCACUGGGCGUAAAGGGCGCGUAGGCGGCCUGGUAAGUAGGGGGUGAAAUCCUGCGGCUUAACCGCAGGGCUGCCUUCUAAACUGUCAGGCUCGAGCACGGUAGAGGCAGAUGGAAUUCCCGGUGUAGCGGUGGAAUGCGUAGAGAUCGGGAAGAACAUCAGUGGCGAAGGCGGUCUGCUGGGCCGUUGCUGACGCUGAGGCGCGACAGCGUGGGGAGCAAACAGGAUUAGAUACCCUGGUAGUCCACGCCGUAAACGAUGGGCACUAGGCGUCGGGGGGAGCGACCCUCCCGGUGCCGUCGCUAACGCAGUAAGUGCCCCGCCUGGGGAGUACGGCCGCAAGGCUG
rnacentral:rRNA from 1 species